UACGUAGGUGGCGAACGUUAUCCGGAGUGACUGGGUGUAAAGGGUCCGUAGGCGGGAGGACAAGUCUGACGUGAAAGCGCCCGGCUCAACUGGGCGAGUGCGUUGGAAACGGUCUUUCUUGAAUCACGCAGAGGUCGGCGGAAUUCCCGGUGUAGUGGUGGAAUGCGUAGAGAUCGGGAGGAACCUCGAAAGCGAAGGCAGCCGACUGGGGGAUGAUUGACGCUGAGGGACGAAAGCGUGGGGAGCGAACAGG
rnacentral:rRNA from 1 species